rnacentral:rRNA from 1 species
CGGCGGACGGGUGAGUAACACGUGGGUAACCUACCUAUAAGACUGGGACAACUUCGGGAAACCGGAGCUAAUACCGGAUAAGAUAUCGAACCGCAUGGUUCGAUAGUGAAAGANGGUUUUGCUAUCACUUAUAGAUGGACCCGCGCCGUAUUAGCUAGUUGGUGAGGUAACGGCUCACCAAGGCAACGAUACGUAGCCGACCUGAGAGGGUGAUCGGCCACACUGGAACUGAGACACGGUCCAGACUCCUACGGGAGGCAGCAGU